UACGUAGGGACCGAGCGUUGUCCGGAUUCAUUGGGCGUAAAGAGCUCGUAGGCGGCUUGGCAAGUCGGGUGUGAAAACUUCAGGCUCAACCUGGAGCGGCCACUCGAUACUGCCAUGGCUUGAGUCCGGUAGGGGACCACGGAAUUCCUGGUGUAGCGGUGAAAUGCGCAGAUAUCAGGAGGAACAUCGGUGGCGAAGGCGGUGGUCUGGGCCGGAACUGACGCUGAGGAGCGAAAGCGUGGGGAGCGAACAGG
rnacentral:rRNA from 1 species